CAUAGGUUAAUGAGGCGAACCGGGGGAACUGAAACAUCUAAGUACCCCGAGGAAAAGAAAUCAACCGAGAUUCCCCCAGUAGCGGCGAGCGAACGGGGAGCAGCCCAGAGCCUGAAUCAGUGUGUGUGUUAGUGGAAGCGUCUGGAAAGGCGCGCGAUACAGGGUGACAGCCCCGUACACAAAAAUGCACAUGCUGUGAGCUCGAUGAGUAGGGCGGGACACGUGGUAUCCUGUCUGAAUAUGGGGGGACCAUCCUCCAAGGCUAAAUACUCCUGACUGACCGAUAGUGAACCAGUACCGUGAGGGAAAGGCGAAAAGAACCCCGGCGAGGGGAGUGAAAAAGAACCUGAAACCGUGUACGUACAAGCAGUGGGAGCCUCUUUAUGGGGUGACUGCGUACCUUUUGUAUAAUGGGUCAGCGACUUAUAUUCUGUAGCAAGGUUAACCGAAUAGGGGAGCCGAAGGGAAACCGAGUCUUAACUGGGCGUUAAGUUGCAGGGUAUAGACCCGAAACCCGGUGAUCUAGCCAUGGGCAGGUUGAAGGUUGGGUAACACUAACUGGAGGACCGAACCGACUAAUGUUGAAAAAUUAGCGGAUGACUUGUGGCUGGGGGUGAAAGGCCAAUCAAACCGGGAGAUAGCUGGUUCUCCCCGAAAGCUAUUUAGGUAGCGCCUCGUGAAUUCAUCUCCGGGGGUAGAGCACUGUUUCGGCAAGGGGGUCAUCCCGACUUACCAACCCGAUGCAAACUGCGAAUACCGGAGAAUGUUAUCACGGGAGACACACGGCGGGUGCUAACGUCCGUCGUGAAGAGGGAAACAACCCAGACCGCCAGCUAAGGUCCCAAAGUCAUGGUUAAGUGGGAAACGAUGUGGGAAGGCCCAGACAGCCAGGAUGUUGGCUUAGAAGCAGCCAUCAUUUAAAGAAAGCGUAAUAGCUCACUGGUCGAGUCGGCCUGCGCGGAAGAUGUAACGGGGCUAAACCAUGCACCGAAGCUGCGGCAGCGACGCUUAUGCGUUGUUGGGUAGGGGAGCGUUCUGUAAGCCUGUGAAGGUGUGCUGUGAGGCAUGCUGGAGGUAUCAGAAGUGCGAAUGCUGACAUAAGUAACGAUAAAGCGGGUGAAAAGCCCGCUCGCCGGAAGACCAAGGGUUCCUGUCCAACGUUAAUCGGGGCAGGGUGAGUCGACCCCUAAGGCGAGGCCGAAAGGCGUAGUCGAUGGGAAACAGGUUAAUAUUCCUGUACUUGGUGUUACUGCGAAGGGGGGACGGAGAAGGCUAUGUUGGCCGGGCGACGGUUGUCCCGGUUUAAGCGUGUAGGCUGGUUUUCCAGGCAAAUCCGGAAAAUCAAGGCUGAGGCGUGAUGACGAGGCACUACGGUGCUGAAGCAACAAAUGCCCUGCUUCCAGGAAAAGCCUCUAAGCAUCAGGUAACAUCAAAUCGUACCCCAAACCGACACAGGUGGUCAGGUAGAGAAUACCAAGGCGCUUGAGAGAACUCGGGUGAAGGAACUAGGCAAAAUGGUGCCGUAACUUCGGGAGAAGGCACGCUGAUAUGUAGGUGAGGUCCCUCGCGGAUGGAGCUGAAAUCAGUCGAAGAUACCAGCUGGCUGCAACUGUUUAUUAAAAACACAGCACUGUGCAAACACGAAAGUGGACGUAUACGGUGUGACGCCUGCCCGGUGCCGGAAGGUUAAUUGAUGGGGUUAGCGGUAACGCGAAGCUCUUGAUCGAAGCCCCGGUAAACGGCGGCCGUAACUAUAACGGUCCUAAGGUAGCGAAAUUCCUUGUCGGGUAAGUUCCGACCUGCACGAAUGGCGUAAUGAUGGCCAGGCUGUCUCCACCCGAGACUCAGUGAAAUUGAACUCGCUGUGAAGAUGCAGUGUACCCGCGGCAAGACGGAAAGACCCCGUGAACCUUUACUAUAGCUUGACACUGAACAUUGAGCCUUGAUGUGUAGGAUAGGUGGGAGGCUUUGAAGUGUGGACGCCAGUCUGCAUGGAGCCGACCUUGAAAUACCACCCUUUAAUGUUUGAUGUUCUAACGUUGACCCGUAAUCCGGGUUGCGGACAGUGUCUGGUGGGUAGUUUGACUGGGGCGGUCUCCUCCUAAAGAGUAACGGAGGAGCACGAAGGUUGGCUAAUCCUGGUCGGACAUCAGGAGGUUAGUGCAAUGGCAUAAGCCAGCUUGACUGCGAGCGUGACGGCGCGAGCAGGUGCGAAAGCAGGUCAUAGUGAUCCGGUGGUUCUGAAUGGAAGGGCCAUCGCUCAACGGAUAAAAGGUACUCCGGGGAUAACAGGCUGAUACCGCCCAAGAGUUCAUAUCGACGGCGGUGUUUGGCACCUCGAUGUCGGCUCAUCACAUCCUGGGGCUGAAGUAGGUCCCAAGGGUAUGGCUGUUCGCCAUUUAAAGUGGUACGCGAGCUGGGUUUAGAACGUCGUGAGACAGUUCGGUCCCUAUCUGCCGUGGGCGCUGGAGAACUGAGGGGGGCUGCUCCUAGUACGAGAGGACCGGAGUGGACGCAUCACUGGUGUUCGGGUUGUCAUGCCAAUGGCACUGCCCGGUAGCUAAAUGCGGAAGAGAUAAGUGCUGAAAGCAUCUAAGCACGAAACUUGCCCCGAGAUGAGUUCUCCCUGACUCCUUGAGAGUCCUGAAGGAACG
rnacentral:rRNA from 1 species